AUUGAACGCUGGCGGCAUGCCUUACACAUGCAAGUCGAACGGCAGCACGGGAGCAAUCCUGGUGGCGAGUGGCGAACGGGUGAGUAAUGUAUCGGAACGUACCUUUCAGUGGGGGAUAACGUAGCGAAAGUUACGCUAAUACCGCAUAUUCUGUGAGCAGGAAAGCAGGGGAUCGCAAGACCUUGCGCUGAUUGAGCGGCCGAUAUCAGAUUAGCUAGUUGGUGAGGUAAAGGCUCACCAAGGCGACGAUCUGUAGCGGGUCUGAGAGGAUGAUCCGCCACACUGGAACUGAGACACGGUCCAGACUCCUACGGGAGGCAGCAGUGGGGAAUUUUGGACAAUGGGCGCAAGCCUGAUCCAGCCAUGCCGCGUGAGUGAAGAAGGCCUCGGUUGUAAGUAC
rnacentral:rRNA from 1 species